CGCAGCCCCGUCCCCCGGGGGCUCCGGGGGUUCCUCCGCCGCCGCCCCGCAGCCUGGGCCCCCCAUCCCCGCUCUCGGCGUCCGGGAGCCACCCGUCCUCAGGGAGCCCUUCCCUUUGUCGCUGGGUCAGGGACUUGUCCAGGAGCUCGGCACAGCCGAACCCAUCCCUGGGACCGAAGAGCGGCACCAGAAUCCAGAGCCUUUGCCUCCUUCCCCCCGCCUCCAUCCCUGCGGGCCGCGGUCAGUCCCCGAGCCCCCGAGUCCUCAGCGCCCACCUCUGAAGCCGAUGCCGCUGCCAGAGCCCAGAACUCGCUGUCCCCACCCUGGGGAGCCCCCUGGACACUGGGGCUCUCCUGGCCUUGCCCCGCAGUGGCUCGGCAGCUCCCAGGGGAAAUGGGCAGUGUUCUCCCGGCCCCACGGCCCCACAGCAGAGGUCGCACACCGUCCCGCCGCUGGCACAAGCCAGGCUCAUGCCCUGCCUCAGGGCCCCUCCUGCCGCAGCUCUGAACUUCCCACCGCUCCCAGCCCUGGCCAGGCACAGGUACGAUGCUUCCCCGGGAACAUUGCUGCAGCAGCUGCAGCCCCAGCGGCGCCGAAACCAACCUGUCAUAGGUGGGCUUUGCGUGGGGGUGACCGGCACGGGAACGGAUACUGCAGGAAAUCUCUUAACUCCACAGAUUUUGGCUUUUGGCAGCAGCAUCUGAAGAGUGGUGAGUUCUGCCCUAGACAUCUAGCCUCAGACUGAGUGUUUUCCUGGGGUGCAGAACUGGUGAUCCAGGAGAAGUGACUCUUCUGGCUGUCCUCCUCAGUGAGGAUGUGCAGCACUGAGAACCGAGGGGCAGAGGGACACCAGGCUGAGCCCUGCUCGCAGCCUCACCCACUGGCGGGCUCACAGCUCCUCACCGACAGGGAACCACAUCACCUUCACACCCUGCGAGGGGAAGAACUGUGCCUUUGUGCAGGAAUGGGGGACCCUUCUGUAUGCAGAAUUGUCUGGCCCAGGAGCUCCCACUCCUCCCAAGCUGCAGCUGCCCCUGUCAGGGCUGGCUGCCUCAGCUCCGUGAUGCGGCUACAGUUCUGGGAUUUCAGCACUGGGAUGCUAACUGUGGGAGAGUUAGCAAAGCCAGAGAAACCAAGUGCUCCCGGAGGCAAAGCCUGGAGGCUGCUCUGCACCAGCUCACCAUGCAGAAGCUGGGUGUCUUCACAGCCUCUCGUCUGUAGCCAACGCUGCUCCAACUGAAAGAACCCUGUGGAGUUAUGGAUGGGGCUUGGUGAGAAGGGAGCCCUCCCAGGCAGUGGGAUGAAAGCAGAUUAAGGCUGCAAGUGUAUUUAGACGAAUAUGAGCUUAAUCCACUAACCAGAUCAAUCAAAGCUGCAAGUGAUGCUUUUGCCCUGGAGUGUCUUGCUGUUCUGUGCCAGUUCACUGCAGGAAAAGAAGCUCUGCCUGGCAUGUACAGCAGCUUUCCUCCUACAUCUGGACUCACUUUAUCUGUGCAAGCCAGCCACAACUCUAAUUUCCAACCAUAUUAACAAGCAGUACUGUAGAUUGCCAUGAGGGACCUGUGUCCAUGCCAAGUAUGGCAGGCAGGCCUCACUUCUCAGUUGGAGCACCAGUGUGGCUGGCAUGGGAAGUCUUGCAGAGCAGGGCAAUUUGGAGAUAUCUCUGUGCAGUUCUGGUCACUUAUCACACUUAUGCUGAAUUAUGCUUCGCUUUUACAAACUCUAAUGGUGUUACUCCAGCGAGGCAAAGCCAGCUCUUAUGCUAAUUUGACUAUUUGUUAGUCUCAUAACCCUUACUUACAUUUACUGUGCAGCUUAAUAUUGUCAACAUGCCUUAAUUUUGGUGUGAGAGUGGUUUUAUGGGGAAUUAUAACAGUAGAGGUUAAAUUGCACAAAUGCAACUUCCCAACAGGUCCAUACCCGUGGAGUUUAUGGCUGAAGAGAUUUGUACAUCGUCACACCUGACCUUAUGGACACCACUGGUUAUUUCUGCCUCAGCUCUUGUGUUUGACUUGGCCAUAUCUACUAAUUUAUUCAUCGAGGGGUGUUUCCACAUCACUUGUGAGCCCUGUGAGAGCGUGUCUCUCCACACCACAGGCUGCACAGAGCUUUCCAAGCAGGCUUCUGCUGACACCUCCCCUUGGGAUCAAGGCUUCCAGCAGUUUUGCCAGUGGAAGGGGAGUUUGCAGGUGCAAAUGUCUGUGACACCACCAGCUGUGACAGCAUCAGCUCCUGGCUCUUUCUGCAUGGCAGUUUUGCUGUCUUGGAUGAGUCCCACACAAGGUGGGACCCGUGAAUCCAACCUUUGGAGCAGAGGUGCUGCCUCUCACAGAGCUGGGCCAGCUAAGGGACGGAGCAAAGGCACAACAGAGGAGGAACAUCCUGCACCAGCCAAGCCCUAAUUCCUUUUUCUAAGCAUAAACCCUUAAGCAGGCCACACAAGCGUGUCAUUUUUCCUGUAUCUGCACGAGUCCUGGUUCUCCCUUUGCAGGCAUCCUCGCAGCACCUGGCACAGUAAUCAGGCAAGGCCUGCAUGGCUGCCUCUUCUGGGUGCUAAAAAAAAAAAAUAAAAUAAAAGAAGGAAAAAAGAGA